rnacentral:piRNA from 2 species
UGAGAUAUAUCUGCCAAUACUCUGAAGUCCU